CUCGCUUCGUCGGCGGUAGAAGCAGAUGGAACCAACAUCUGCUCCCUUGAGUGGUGGUGGUGGUCUUCUUGUUUCGGCCAUUAGUUCAGUUGGUCAGCUUCCCAGAUUGUUGAUAUUGGCAAAACUCUGCCAUUGUUCAUGGAGCUUCAAAACUUAUGUGACAGGAUGUGAAGAACCAUGCUCUGCAAAGUGUCUUGUUUUCAAUGUUGCAGGUACUUUACAUCAAUAAAGUGUUGGUGCUGAAGGUUUGAAAAAUAUUUUAAAGCUUAGGAGGAAUGGCUCUGCUGUAUCUAAUAUAAGUAGUGUUGCUUCUUAUUGUGUUGCAAUAUUAUGCUUACUAUUUCAGAUUUUGUUUUUAGCUCCUUUAAAGCGCAUGAGUAGCUUGUGUUUCGAUGAAAAGCUAUUUGUUCAAUCACUCUACAAGGUGAUUUAAUUUCCUUAAACUUCUAUUAUCUCAUAUUUGAUAACAACCUACUCUCUUACAUA